rnacentral:rRNA from 1 species
CCUACGGGGGGCAGCAGUGAGGAAUAUUGGUCAAUGGGAGAGAUCCUGAACCAGCCAAGCCGCGUGAGGGAAGAUGGCACUAUGGAUUGUAAACCUCUUUUGUCGGGGAACAAAACCCGGGACGUGUCCCGGAAUGCGUGUAUCCGAAGAAAAAUCAUCGGCUAACUCCGUGCCAGCAGCCGCGGUAAUACGGAGGAUGCGAGCGUUAUCCGGAUUUAUGGGGUUUAAAGGGUGCGUAGGCGGUCCGUUAAGUCAGCGGUAAAAUUGCGGGGCUAAACCCCGGCGAGCCGUUGAAACUGGCAGUCUUGAGUUGGCGAGAGGUACGCGGAAUGCGCGGUGUAGCGGUGAAAUGCAUAGAUAUUGCGCAGAACUCCGAUUGCGAAGGCAGCGUACCGGCGCCAGACUGACGCUGAGGCACGAAAGCGUGGGGAGCGAACAGGAUUAGAUACCCGAGUAGUC